rnacentral:rRNA from 1 species
UACGGAGGGGGCAAGCGUUGUCCGGAAUGACUGGGCGUAAAGGGAGUGUAGGCGGCUUAUCAAGUUAGAUGUGAAAUCCCGCGGCUUAACCGCGGAACUGCAUCUAAAACUGGUAAGCUGGAGUGCAGGAGAGGCAAGUGGAAUUCCUAGUGUAGCGGUGAAAUGCGUAGAUAUUAGGAGGAACACCAGUGGCGAAGGCGGCUUGCUGGACUGUAAAUGACGCUGAGGCUCGAAAGCGUGGGGAGCAAACAGG